rnacentral:rRNA from 1 species
AACGAACGCUGGCGGCAGGCCUAACACAUGCAAGUCGAACGAACCGUUUACGGUGAGUGGCGCACGGGUGAGUAACACGUGGGAAUAUACAUUUCGGUAAGGAAUAACGUAGAGAAAUUUACGCUAAUACCUUAUAAUGACUACGGUCCAAAGAUUUAUCGCCGAAGGAUUAGCCCGCGUUAGAUUAGGUAGUUGGUAGGGUAAUGGCCUACCAAGCCUACGAUCUAUAGCUGGUCUUAGAGGAUGAUCAGCCACACUGGAACUGAGACACGGUCCAGACUCCUACGGGAGGCAGCAGUGAGGAAUAUUGCGCAAUGGGGGAAACCCUGACGCAGCCAUGCCGCGUGAGCGACGAAGGCCUUAGGGUUGUAAAGCUCUUUCGGAUGUAAAGAUAAUGACGGUAACAUCAGAAGAAGCUCCGGCUAAAUUCGUGCCAGCCGCCGCGGUAA